rnacentral:rRNA from 1 species
UGGCGAACGGGUGAGUAACACGUGAGUAACCUGCCCUUGACUUCGGGAUAACUCCGGGAAACCGGGGCUAAUACCGGAUAUGAGCUACCUUCGCAUGGGGGUGGUUGGAAAGUUUUUCGGUCAAGGAUGGGCUCGCGGCCUAUCAGCUUGUUGGUGGGGUGAUGGCCUACCAAGGCGACGACGGGUAGCCGGCCUGAGAGGGCGACCGGCCACACUGGGACUGAGACACGGCCCAGACUCCUACGGGAGGCAGCAGUGGGGAAUAUUGCACAAUGGGCGAAAGCCUGAUGCAGCGACGCCGCGUGAGGGAUGAAGGCCUUCGGGUUGUAAACCUCUUUCAGCAGGGAAGAAGCGCAAGUGACGGUACCUGCAGAAGAAGCGCCGGCUAACUACGUGCCAGCAGCCGCGGUAAUACGUAGGGCGCAAGCGUUGUCCGGAAUUAUUGGGCGUAAAGAGCUCGUAGGCGGUUUGUCGCGUCUGGUGUGAAAACUCGAGGCUCAACCUCGAGCUUGCAUCGGGUACGGGCAGACUAGAGUGCGGUAGGGGAGACUGGAAUUCCUGGUGUAGCGGUGGAAUGCGCAGAUAUCAGGAGGAACACCGAUGGCGAAGGCAGGUCUCUGGGCCGCAACUGACGCUGAGGAGCGAAAGCAUGGGGAGCGAACAGGAUUAGAUACCCUGGUAGUCCAUGCCGUAAACGUUGGGCACUAGGUGUGGGGCUCAUUCCACGAGUUCCGUGCCGCAGCAAACGCAUUAAGUGCCCCGCCUGGGGAGUACGGCCGCAAGGCUAAAACUCAAAGGAAUUGACGGGGGCCCGCACAAGCGGCGGAGCAUGCGGAUUAAUUCGAUGCAACGCGAAGAACCUUACCAAGGCUUGACAUGCACGGGAAGCCACCAGAGAUGGUGGUCUCUUUGGACACUCGUGCACAGGUGUGCAUGGUUGUCGUCAGCUCGUGUCGUGAGAUGUUGGGUUAAGUCCCGCAACGAGCGCAACCCUCGUCCCAUGUUGCCAGCGGGUUAUGCCGGGGACUCAUGGGAGACUGCCGGGGUCAACUCGGAGGAAGGUGGGGAUGACGUCAAAUCAUCAUGCCCCUUAUGUCUUGGGCUUCACGCAUGCUACAAUGGCCGGUACAAAGGGCUGCGAUACCGUAAGGUGGAGCGAAUCCCAAAAAGCCGGUCUCAGUUCGGAUUGGGGUCUGCAACUCGACCCCAUGAAGUCGGAGUCGCUAGUAAUCGCAGAUCAGCAACGCUGCGGUGAAUACGUUCCCGGGCCUUGUACACACCGCCCGUCAAGUCACGAAAGUCGGUAACACCCGAAGCC